rnacentral:rRNA from 1 species
UACAGGGGGUGCGAGCGUUGCUCGGAAUUAUUGGGCGUAAAGCGCGCGUAGGCGGCCACUUAAGUCGGAUGUGAAAGCCCCUGGCUCAACUGGGGAAGUGCACCCGAAACUGAGUAGCUGGAGUACGAAAGAGGGUCGCGGAAUUCCCGGUGUAGAGGUGAAAUUCGUAGAUAUCGGGAGGAACACCGGUGGCGAAGGCGGCGACCGGGGUCGAGACUGACGAUGAGUGAGCGAAAGCCAGGGGAGCAAACGGG